rnacentral:rRNA from 1 species
UGACGAGUGGCGGACGGGUGAGUAAUGCUUGGGAACUUGCCUUUGCGAGGGGGAUAACAGUUGGAAACGACUGCUAAUACCGCAUAAUGUCUUCGGACCAAACGGGGCUUCGGCUCCGGCGCAAAGAGAGGCCCAAGUGAGAUUAGCUAGUUGGUAAGGUAACGGCUUACCAAGGCGACGAUCUCUAGCUGUUCUGAGAGGAAGAUCAGCCACACUGGGACUGAGACACGGCCCAGACUCCUACGGGAGGCAGCAGUGGGGAAUAUUGCACAAUGGGGGAAACCCUGAUGCAGCCAUGCCGCGUGUGUGAAGAAGGCCUUCGGGUUGUAAAGCACUUUCAGUUGUGAGGAAAAGUUAGUAGUUAAUACCUGCUAGCCGUGACGUUAACAACAGAAGAAGCACCGGCUAACUCCGUGCCAGCAGCCGCGGUAAUACGGAGGGUGCGAGCGUUAAUCGGAAUUACUGGGCGUAAAGCGCACGCAGGCGGUUUGUUAAGCUAGAUGUGAAAGCCCCGGGCUCAACCUGGGAUGGUCAUUUAGAACUGGCAGACUAGAGUCUUGGAGAGGGGAGUGGAAUUCCAGGUGUAGCGGUGAAAUGCGUAGAUAUCUGGAGGAACAUCAGUGGCGAAGGCGACUCCCUGGCCAAAGACUGACGCUCAUGUGCGAAAGUGUGGGUAGCGAACAGGAUUAGAUACCCUGGUAGUCCACACCGUAAACGCUGUCUACUAGCUGUGUGUGNCUUUAAGGCGUGCGUAGCGAAGCUAACGCGCUAAGUAGACCGCCUGGGGAGUAC